AGAGUUUGAUCAUGGCUCAGAUUGAACGCUGGCGGCAUGCCUUACACAUGCAAGUCGAACGGCAGCACGGGAGCUUGCUCCUGGUGGCGAGUGGCGAACGGGUGAGUAAUGCAUCGGAACGUGCCCUGGAAGUGGGGGAUAACGUAGCGAAAGUUACGCUAAUACCGCAUAUUCUGUGAGCAGGAAAGCAGGGGGAUCUUCGGACCUUGCGCUUUUGGAGCGGCCGAUGUCGGAUUAGCUAGUUGGUGGGGUAAAGGCCCACCAAGGCGACGAUCCGUAGCGGGUCUGAGAGGAUGAUCCGCCACACUGGAACUGAGACACGGUCCAGACUCCUACGGGAAGCAGCAGUGGGGAAUUUUGGACAAUGGGCGCAAGCCUGAUCCAGCCAUGCCGCGUGAGUGAAGAAGGCCUUCGGGUUGUAAAACUCUUUCGGUGGGGAAGAAAUUGCUUGGGUUAAUACCCUGAGUAGAUGACGGUACCCGCAUAAGAAGCACCGGCUAACUACGUG
rnacentral:rRNA from 1 species